UGCUUGAUAUAGUUAAUUUGAUGCUUAGGGUUCCAGGAUUGAUGUUUGUAUCUGUUCUACUUAGCUUUUCGAGUCUUUACUGCAGAGGGCAUGGUGCUUCUGUUUAUAGCACCAUGUUGGCUCUCUCAGUCUUUUCAUCUAGGGCAGUGUUUCCCAAACUGGAGUGAGUCAUGGACCCUCCUGUAGAUCCUGGUGGGAGAGUGGGGACACUAGAGAAUGGCAGAUCUAUUCUCUCUCGAUACAUUCUCCAAGAAAUCAUUAGUUAUCAUUUAAUUUCAAUGAUAAUGAAACGUCAACAUAAACAUAAUCAAGAUCAGGUGGCAUUACUGUCUGUGCCAUUUCUGAGUUUGACUAUCUUUUAGUAUAGCUGAACUCCUGUGACUUAUAUUAAUUUAUGAAUGAUAUUACUUUAUGAAUCUCCUGAGGCAUAACUGUUAAGGCUAAUGUGGCUCAUUUAACUAGUAGCUGAGCCUAGAAAACACGCUACUCACAGUUCACCUUUCAUUUUGGCCUUGCUGCCUGUACAAGUACUCAUUUUGUGAGGGAAAUUCUAGCCAUGAUAAUAUUCUAAAUUUAGGUGAGUCUCCAGAAUGGGAAGGGGCUACUGUAUCAUAUCUUUUUCCUACUUAUAUAAUGCUAAAGACUCCGUGAAAAGUUCUUUGCUCUUCCACUCUUCUUUUUUGAUCAAAGUUACUAUUCAUUACCUCAUUUAUUUAUUCACUGAACAAAUACUCAGUAUGUAAUCAACAUGUUAUAAUUAAUCAUAUCAAAGCUUGUUAUAUUAAUUAUAUUUUAGAUUGAUUUUGUUUUUCACAUGAUAUAGUUUAGGAAGACAUUCAAGUCUUCUCAUUAAAUGCUUUUACUGUCAGCCCUACUUAGGCUUAAAUACUGUAUAAUACACUGUCUCUCUAAGAAUUAAUUUUUUCACUAGUCUGCAAGCCCCUUGAGGGGAAGAGAAGACUAUAUUUUAGUAUUAUCCCAAUCCUAUUCUACACAAACUUUGUGGUUAAUUGAUGGAUUCCAUCAACCAGGACAUCCUGUUCCUCUAGCUUUCUGGCUGACUGAGAUGAUAUUUUUAAACAGACAAUUGGAUAUGAGUUUUCAGUAGGUUCUUUCUCACCAUGUAUGUUCUUUAGUAUUAUUAUUUUCUUCAUUAUUAUGGGUGAUAAUAGUGGUAGUAUGGUAGCAUAGAGGCAGAGAUGUAAAAAGUGGAGAGCACAGGCUUUGGAGUGAACAGCUUUAGCUCCAUUACUUGGAAAAUUUACUUGACUUUGAGCUAUAGUUUUCCCAUAAAAAAAAAAAGUGAAUUAAAAUACACAUCUUUAAAGGCUAUUAAGAAAAUUAAAUCAAUAAUAUAUGUGUAAAAUGAUGAGAUGAAGAAUUUGCUUAUGGCAAAUUGAGGAGAAGGGGGAAGAGCAGUGGAGACAAGAAAGCCUGAUUUUAAUAACAGAAUUAGAGCACAAAGUUCACUGGAUUGGACUGAAUGUAUCAGAAGGGGUAGAAGUGCUGUUGUUUGGCAAUCUUAAGUUUUAUCUCCCCAAAUCUCCCUCCUUGAGCCAUGGAAAGCUCAAAAAAGCAAAGAUAGUAUUAGGAAAAAUAAAGACGUUCUUUGUAAAUUGCUGAAUUGAACCUGUGUCCAAACCCAUUCACACUUGUGAAAGCGCUGCACAUAGUAGGCAUUCAACAGGUGUUCGCUCCGUUUGCCACCUUUCCCUUUUCUCUCUCUUUCUAGUGAUAUAUGCAUACACACACACACACACACACACACACCACACAUAUGUAAAACCUGUGACAUAUAAUAUGUAGUAACAAUAUUGAUUUUAAAAUGUGUGUGUGUAUGUGUAUAUUCAUCCAUCAAUCCAUAUGUAGCAGUACUCACCUCCCUUGGAGGUGACUGGGUAACUGGAACUGUGUGUGUAUGGGGGGGCUCAUCAUAAGGAGCAGAGAGUGCUACUGGUGUUAGCAGGGUUGCUAAACAUUCAGCAGAGUGUAGGAGAACUCCCCAAACAGAGAAUUGUCCUGCCCCAAUACCAGUAGCACUCCCAUUAAGAAACACUGUGCCUUUACAGUGUGGAAGAACCUGCAGCAACUUUGUGAAUUAGAAAUUCUUUUUAAUUCUAUCAUAAAGGAUAACAACUUUUCAGGGGAAGUAAGAGAGCCUGUGCCUUGACUAAUGGUAUUACUGCAUGCACUAUUGACUGAAUCUUGGUCCAUGCUGUGAAAUGUUAGAUAUGUUAAAUUCUAACAUAGAUGUGAAUAUUAUUUUGGAUUCUAGGGCACUGCUAUCAUUGUUCUUUUAUGGGUGAAAUAAAGGGCUGUUACUACUUGAAUUUUUUCCUCCAGAUAUUCUUUCAUUGAGAAGCUGUUAGAUAAAAGUUGGAUUGUCUUCGUGGACAAGGCAUUUCACCAGAAAAACAAGCUUAGUGUCACUAUGCACACACACAGAGACUGCAUACACAAAGCAACUUUGGAGGGCUCUUUUGAUAUUACAUGGGGAAACUGACAGUGCCAAUAAUAGCACAGGACUAUAUAUCUCUCCCAGUGCUUUGGAAGGCACAGAAAGCAAAUGACAAUUUCAGUUGUAGCUAAGAUAUAUUUUGCAGUGGGUGGAAAGAAACUGGCAUUCUUAUAGGAAUACAGGAAAUUGUCUUUGAACUUCUGAAGGCACACAGAAAGCUAAUGACACCUCAGAGGAAUAGCGUUUUCAGGUUUUAGACGCCACAGAUGCCAGCAAUGCUAAAGCCAGUAUAUAAAACCUUUUUAUAGGGCCUUUAAGAAUCCUCAGUGUGCUUUCAUUAGUAGGCUUAGCGGGUAUAUAGAAAUGUUAAUGAUCUGUGGAGCAAGCUCAGCUUGUUUUUACAAACUACAGAACUAUAAAAGUUAUCAGAAAGGACAUACAUUCUCCUUCCUUUCUUUGUUCCUUUAUUUCUUAUUUAUUUUCCUCUGUAUAUAAUAGAGCACCUAUCAUGUGCUAGGUUCUACAGAUAGAAAGAUGAAUCAGAGGUGGAGUCUUCUCGUCAGAAGUUUGCAAUCUAACAUGGGAGAAAUGUGUGCGUUAAUAUCUACAAAGCAAGGUAGAAGGUGAUAAUGAUACAAAUAAAGUACAAAUUAAAUGGAAAUUUAGCAGAAGAAGAAAUUACUUCUGGCUGAUAGGAUCAAAGAAAGCUACAUAGAGGAAAGAGUGGAAAUAGUAUUUAACUAUUUUCGAGAAUAUGUAAGAUUUGGGCAGGUAGCAAUUAGCUUGCAGGGAAAAAGAAGAAGGUAUUGCAGAGGAGGGCAUUCCAAGCCGUUGGAAUAACAUUAGCAAAGCUUAGGACAGGAAUGGCAUAAAAUGGAGAAUAGCUAAGAGUUCGGAGAUUCUUGGUAUAUACCUCUGAUCAUUCAGAGAAUGAACCUGUAUUUAUUGCUUACUAAUUAAUAAUUUAGAAUUCUAGUCCUUCGACUUCGAUACACCACAGAAACUGCUUUGGAAGUUGUUAAAAAUUCCAAUGCUUGAGAGUCCUUCCACUUACCCCUUAUUUAGAAGACCCUAGAGAUCCUGUUAUUCCUCACAGCCCAUGGGCAGCAUUGGUCCCCCAGCCGGCCACAGGAGACUCUGGCCGUGUGUGUUACCAAGCUAGGAGACCACGCUGGGAUGCCGAGAGCAGGAGGGAAAUGGAAAUUACUUUUCUAAGAAGUAUAAUCCCCAACUCUCCUUUUAAGCAGCUACAAUACAUCUCAUAUUUUAUUUAAUUUUCUUUUAAUGGAAAAGCCGGUUAUACUAAAGGAAAGCUCAUGACUGGUAGAGGAGAUUUGAAUAAUGUUUAUAAGCUUUUUAUAUGAUUUUUUUAUUGUGAUUUUUUUGUCUCCUAAUUGAUUAGUAAAGGGAAAAAUGGGGAAGACUGACGUGUCAUCUUCUAUCAUGGUUCAGAUAGAGUGAAAUUAUUCCCACCUUUCUAAUAGAACUCCCAAGGUUUAUUGCUAUUUUAAAUUUGUCAGAGCAGUGCUUUUCAGUGAAGCAACAUUAGUCCUUAUCCUUCUGUAAAUAGGAAAUUUUACUCAAGGAGGUGAAGUCUCCCCCUUCACAAAACAAUUGUUUCUCUGACCUGAAUGAUGCCAAAUGCUCCAUUGCAGUCCUGCCCUGGCCACUCUUUGAUGUUUUUGUCGGUGGAGUCCCUGUAGCACCUUUGGCCCUACUUGGGCCUCGGAGUCUGACUGCAGUGGUGUGUUGUGCAACCCACCUGGGUAUGAAGAAUAUUGUACCAACCAAGUGGGCCUUGCAGUCACAUUUGACAUAUUAAGGGCUACUGUUCCAAUAGCUUGACUUAGCAAUGUAGAUGACUACCUGCUACUCUUCCUCUUAAAGGUCGAUGGGCUGGUCUGGACUUAGCCCUAGCUAUCAGACUCGACAACCGAUCUCUCCCUGUGUGUCCCCUGCUCCCCAGCUUGCUCCAGCCCAGCUUGUCCAUCUCCUGGCAUUUCCGUAACCUGUUACAUGUUACAAGGUACUUUCUUGUACAUUUAAAGUCUAACAACAAUUCCCGAGAUAUGCAAUAAUAAUUAUACUUGUUACUAUUUAGUGAGUGCCUGCUAUACUAGGGUCAGAAAGGUUGAAUAAUUUACCCACUCAUAAAGUUAAUAGACUGCAGAGUCCGUAUGCAAAGUUACAUAUUUUUACUUUUAGUCUGGAUGGAUCCCAUAUUUGGGGAGAACAAGGUCUUGAAAAUUUACACAUUGCCUCUUGCUCUGGGAAGCUGGAAGGCUCUCUAGCAGGCCUGGUCUCAUAUAAAUUGUACUUUACUUGUAACAGGCACCGUAUGGGAUCUUGCCUUGGAGUUGGGACCUGAAAAGUGCCUUUUGAAGGCCCGAACCAUCCAGCUUUCAGGAAAGAAAGCCAUUUUGGGUAUGGAUGCUCUGGAAAGAUGCCCAUGGUCCCUGGAUCCAUUGUCAUCAAGACCUCCAUUUUGAAUUAUGUUUUUCUAUGGAAUAUAUUGGAGCAGAGCAAGGAGGAUGGUGGAAGAGGAGGAAAUUGAGUAUGCAAGGAAUUCCAGGAGCAAGUUGUUACCGCAGUAAUGCGGAUUGGAGCCGCCUGCCGCAAUAGCCAAUUCUGAGACGGGGGAGAGAUUCAGACAACUCGUUACAUGGAUUGAGAGAUAGAAUAUUUUACUGGAGCCUGCUUUGACUCCCCUAUUCCUCAAGAGACAGCAAAUGAGUAAAUAUACUGAAGUGUUGGAAACCAGAAUUUUCACUGUGGAAGAAGGAGGGACUCAAAUAUGGAAAACGGGGAAUAUGAGGAAGGAUCUCAUGGUAUUGGAUUUAAGUUGAAACUAUCAGUAUGAAUUCAUAUUAAAAAUACACACACACAUUUCCUGCCUGUGUCCACUGAAAGAACCUAGUAGGAAUGAGCAUCUUUAAUGACCAGAUCUUUGUUUCUAAGUUUCAUUUUCCCCUAACACAAACCAUUGAAGAAAUGGUCAACCUGAGAUAUUUGCUAUACGAAAACAAUAAAGAGGUCAUGUCAAGGAACCGGCUUGAAGUUAACUCUCACUAGUCAAACUUAGGACAAUUUGAGCAUCAAAAAGAAUGUUGAUGAUCAUGGAUUAUAACACAUUAAAUUAAAAAAAAUCAUGGGUACACAGUGAUGAGAGGGGCAGGAGGGAGGGUGGGGGAAGCUCUACUUUACAGAAGAAUGCUAGAUAACAAAAGUGGAAAGAAUUACAGAAUUUUAAAAAUCAUCAUUUUGUAAUCCUAGUGUAAUGACUGAUUCAUGGUGGAUGCUAAAACUAUUGGGGGAAAAGUUUUUCUGUUAGGGAACAGAAUAUCCUCAUUUCUCAACAUAGCUCCCCACAGAUUUACUUAAGGGCAAAAUGGAGAGAUUGAUGGUCACUGUCUGAACCAAAUGGUCAACCUUGGCAUGAUUAGUAGUGGGGAGUCUGAUGUGAUACAGUGAGAGAUACACAACUUCUGCAGAAUAACUGGCCUGGAUUCUUCAAGUGAUUUAAUGUCACAAAGAAAGAGGGAAGUGCAGCACAGUUUCAGAUUGGGGAGACUAAGAAGAAAGAACAGCUAUUUGCAGUAAGUGAAACUUGAUUGGAUUCUGGAUCAAAACAAACAAAGCAGCUGUAAAGUACAUUUUUGAGACAAUUGGGUAAAUUUGAAUAUGAACUGUAUGUUGGAUGAUGGCAUUAAAUUAAUGUUCGCUUUUUAAAGGCUGAGUUGCAUGCUGAAGGCUCUUCUUGAGAGAUACAUUUGCAGUAUUUAGGGUAAAAUUUCAUGAUGUCUUAAGCCCAUGUUUGGAUAGUUUGGCCAAAGGAAAGCAUGUGUACAUAUACGUGUGUGUGUGUGUGUGAGAGAAAGAGAGAUAGGAAGUGGGUUUGGCAAGAUAGCUGGUGAAUCUCGGUGAGGAGUGUAUGGGUGUUCAUUGAACUGUUGCUUCAAUAUUUCUGUAGAUUUGAAAUUUUUCAAAAUAAACAAUAAAUUUAAAAAUAAGUAAAAAAUGUUACCCAUUAAUCUCUGCUUUUCGUGUAGAACCAGAAAGAUAUGGUACUAGGGAAUCCCUGGGAAAUAGUUUCCAUACCCACUGAAACACCCAUUGUCAUGGAGUCUAUUCUGACUCAGUGACCCUAUAGGACAGAGUAGAACUGCCCUAUAGGGUUUUCAAGGAGUGGCUGGUGGAUUCGAACUGCCUACCUUUUGGUUAGCAGCUGAGCUUUAACCACUGUGCCACCAGGGCUCCAUAGGACAAGUGUAUUAUUUCCGUACUACUCACUGUGGAAAAUAUGAAUGUUAAUACGUUACUAUUGAACAGUUGUGGUAGAGUAGAAUUUUCCAAUAAUUCAGCUGUACUCAUUUUUCUCUGGUUCUGUAUCAGUAAGCUUAGUUUCUUACAAAUUAGAAGAUUCUUUACAUACGAGAUGAAAAUGGAUUUUACAUUUUCCCCAAUAAGCUGUGGAAAAUAAAGUAACAGAGGAAUUAAUAAUGAUAUCUAUCAUUUGCUGAAUGGCUGCUAUGUGCUUCUCACUUCGCUGCUUUUUAUGUAAAUUAUCUUUAGUCUUCAUUAUCUCCAUAUUACCACAAGGAAACAGGCUUAGGAUGUUGAGUUGCUUUCACAAGGUCAUACAAUGAGCAAAUUGUAGAGCUGAGACUUAAACCCACUUCUGUCUGACUCUAGUUUCUUUUUACAUGUCUAUCCUACAACACUAUGCUGUUCAUACUAAGAUAAACUAUUUUAAAUAGUUUCUUAAAUGAUUGCAUUUUUUGAGGAAAUUCAUGGGGUUGCCAUGAGUUGGAAUCAACUUGACAGCAACUAACAACAACAACAACAGAGAUCAAGUUAUUACGUCUCUCAGUAUAUAAUAUUCGAGUGUGAAGAGAAAAUGAUGGGAAUAGGAGUGUACUGGGAGUAAGAAGUCCAGGGCUCUAUUUCCAGUUCUGUCACUGUCUGACUGUGUGACUGGGGGACCUUAGUCUCUUAAAAUAUAAUCAUUGGUUGAUCUAGUUGAUAUCUCAGUUAAUUAAAGGAAUUACAAUAGCAUGACACUUUCAAAAAUUAAAAAAAAAUCACUGUUGCAUAAGCAAAGUCUAGGGGAUAUAAGUGAGCGGGCUUGGAAGUAUAGUGAUGAGACGUGGUAAGGCUGGAGAGGGAGACAGGCUGGGUUAUUAAGGAGUUGCAGUUUAAUCAUAAGGACACUGAAAGACCCUGCUGGUCUUUAAUUUUUUUCACUCCCAAAAAUUUAAUGGUAAUUUUAAUAUCAUUAAAUAUUUAAGACAGAGUCAAAUUUCUUUUACUUACACUUCGUUCAAAUCAGGUUCUAAACAAGGUCCUUAUAUUGCAGUUGGUUGAUAGGUCUCUCAAGUCUCUCUGUCACUCUAUUAACUGCUUUCUUGAAAUAUAAUUCACAUACCAUACAGUUCAUGUAUUUAAAGUUUAUAGUUCAAUGGUGUUUAGCACAGUUGUGCAGCCAUCACUACAAUUAAUUUUAGAACUUUUUUUUCACCCCAAAAAGAAACUCUGUUGGCAGUUACUCCUCAUUUCCCCCUAAACCUCUCACAGACUUAGGAGAACACAAAUCUACUUUCUAUUUCUAUAGCUUUGUUCUGGACUUUUCAUAUAAAUGAAAACAUAUAACAUGUUUUCAAGGUUCAUCUAUGUUGUAACAUGUAUCAGUACUAAACUCUUUUUUAUUGCUGAGUGA